AUUGAAAAUAUAGCCACACCCACCCAAACUACCAUAAAACACUAACUAAACCAUUCAUCAAAGCUAGUAUGGGAGACAGAAAACCUAUAAGCGCAAUAAAUAAAGUACUGCAAAGGAAAUAUGAAAUAGAAAUUAAACAAAACAUAAAAAUAUAAAAAAGUAAUGAUUAAAUCAUAUACCUUUUGCAUCAUGGUCUAGCAAGUAUAACCCAACAAAAAGAAUUAAGCUGGACACCCCGAAACCAAGCGAGCUACCUCAAGACAACAACCGAAUUAAUCCUUCUCUGUGGCAAAAGAGUGGAAAGAUCUUAAAGUAGUGGCAAAAAACCUAACGAGCCUGGAUAUAGCUGGUUACUUGAGAAUGAAUUUAAGUUCAAUUAAAAGCGACUUCACCAGUAAGGACUAUUGCUUUUAUUUUAACAAAUUAAGGUACAACUUAAUUAGUAAAGGAAACAACCUAAAUAAAUGAAUAAAGAUUAUAUUCACUAAGGACCACAGCCCAGUAGGCUUAAAAGCAGCCACCACACAAUAGCGUUAAAGCUUAACCAACACAACACCUGCCAUUCCAAUAAAUAAUCUAAAUUCAACAAAAAAAUCAAGUCAAUCUACACGUAGAUAAGUUAUUACUAGAAUGAGUAACAAGGAUUAUCCUCAACAUACAUGUGUAAAUCGGAACGAACUAAUCACCGAUAAUUAACGAUAAGUAACUUAAACUAGAAUAUAAUAUAACAUAAAUCGUUUACCCAACACAGGAGUAUUCAAGAAAGACCUUAAGUCUAGAAAGGAACUCGGCAAUUUCAAGGCUCCGCCUGUUUACCAAAAACAUCGCCUUUUGAAUUUUUAAUAUAAAAGGUCCUGCCUGCCCAGUGACUUUGUUCAACGGCCGCGGUAUUAUGACCGUGCAAAGGUAGCGUAAUCACUUGUCUUUUAAAUAAAGACCAGUAUGAACGGCAAAACGAGGGCCUAACUGUCUCACUAGAUCAGUCAGUGAAAUUAAUCUUCCAGUGCAGAAACUGGAAUAUAUAUAUAAGACGAGAAGACCCUGUGGAGCUUUAAACCUAAGCUAAUAUAUAAUAAUUAUAGCACCAGGUUUUAGGUUGGGGCGACCACAAGAAAAAAUAAACUCUUAAGAUAUUAACAAGAAGGACACUUCAAACAAAUGGUAAUACUAACACAUUGACCCAAUAUUUGAUCAACGAACCAAGUUACCCCAGGGAUAACAGCGCAAUCCACUCACAGAGCCCAUAUCGACGAGCGGGUUUACGACCUCGAUGUUGGAUCAGGACAACCUAAUGGUGCAACAACUAUUAAAGGUUCGUUUGUUCAACGAUUAAAGUCCUACGUGAUCUGAGUUCAGACCGGAGUAAUCCAGGUCAGUUUCUAUCUAUAAAAAAGCUUUCCUAGUACGAAAGGACCGAAAAGCUAAGGCCCAUAAAAAUCUCAAGCCUUCUCAACAGCCUCUAAAACCAAAUAAAGAAGUUGAAUGAGAAAAAAUGAAGUCUAUACGACUU
rnacentral:rRNA from 1 species